UCCAAACGGAGGAGGAAAAAGCUUCACAAGUUCUCUUUCCGUGCUUGUGUAUUUCCCACUAAUGGCACUGGUAAUUCAACCAGGCUUCAUACACGAGCGCGAACCCUUCUUCUCAAACAAAUUGUUAAUGAAUUGGAGACCGAACAUGAGAUUUCGGAUGAAUCAGCUUCCUCAUCAUCUUCGUCGUCUAUCCAAAUGGGCUCAAAUUUCACUGGUUUCCAAGAAGAUCCUAUGCUAGACAAGUUAAGAACUCAAUUGGGAGUCAUACACCCAAUUCCAUCUCCUCCAAUUAAUCGAAAUAUUUUUGGGUUAUUUGUCUUUUUCUUCUUUGUUGGGGUAGUUUUUGAUAAGCUAUGGACUUCUAGGAAGAUGGCCAAGAUGGUCGGCGGAGGCGAGCAGCGUGGGCCGUGGCCGCAAGUUCCCAC
rnacentral:misc_RNA from 1 species